rnacentral:rRNA from 1 species
GGCGUAGGCGGUUUUGCAAGUUGGAUGUGAAAGCCCUCGGCUCAACCGAGGAACUGCAUUCAAAACUGCAGAACUUGAGUAUAGUAGAGGGAAGCGGAAUUCCUGGUGUAGCGGUGAAAUGCCUUGAUAUCAGGAGGAACAUCUGUGGCGAAGGCGGCUUCCUGGGCUAAUACUGACGCUGAGGCCCGAAAGCAGUCGGGUAGCAAACG